AUUGGAUCUCAAAAAAGCGGCAGAAAUGCUGAAAAAAAUUAUUCGAAAUCAAAUCAAAUUGUUUGGAGCUGCUUUGUCGGACUUUAGCACAGCAUUCGCCCUCCCUGCGGUAACCAGAGCAACAAUGGUUGAAAGUUGUAUGCAAUAGAAAAUAAUUUUAUGCAAACAAUGCACAAAAUACAAGAGCAUUUUACGAAAAUUCUGUGUGGUGCAGUUUCCUAACAAUCCGCUUUCCGCCUUUGAUCCUUCGUUGCACUACGGGCACCUAUGCUGUCAAAUCAAAUCAAGACCGGAAUAAUUUGAGUAACCGAAACGGUCGGAUAGAAGCACAAUGCCCGCCUCCACCGGUAGAGCAUUCUCGGACAGGGCCAUCAUUACUCCCAUCAAGGAUUGUAUCCCAUUCAGCUGACGUACUGUGAAGCUCUUUGUAACUAUUGCAUUUCAGUUAGGGAGUGUAUUCACUUACAUACUGUACAAUGUUCUGGCGGAAAAGCAGUUCACGGCGGACUUUGUCUGUGGAAAACGUGAAGAGAGAUGAUUGAAAUCGUCACUGACAUUGUAUAAACAGCGUUUCGGCUGGCGACAUCCGCGAAUUGGUCGCACCAACGCGUAAGGGUGUUACGGAACAAAAGAAAAACAAAUCUAAAAUCCGUAGCCUAGAAAAAAACUGAUUUGAAAUCUUGCAAGUAGUUUGAAAGUCGUACAAACGUAAAACACAACCUUUGAAGACACAGGCAGUCAAAAACAAGCGAAAACUCGACUGACCUCGGAAGAAUUAAGGAAAUUUUUCAAUAAGGUUUAAUACAACCCUCAGAUAUUUGGAUGAUUUUUCCGAAUAA